UACAGAGACUGCAAGCGUUAUUCGGAUUCACUGGGCGUAAAGGGUGCGCAGGCGGCUAUGUGUGUGAGGCGUGAAAGCCCGGGGCUUAACCCCGGAAUUGCACCUCAAACUACAUGGCUAGAGCAUUGGAGAGGGUAGCGGAAUUCACGGUGUAGCAGUGAAAUGCGUAGAUAUCGAGAGGAACACCAGUGGCGAAGGCGAGUCCCUGGACAACUCCUGACACUGAGGCACGAAAGCUAGGGGAGCAAACAGG
rnacentral:rRNA from 1 species